rnacentral:rRNA from 1 species
GACGAACGCUGGCGGCGUGCUUAACACAUGCAAGUCAAACGGGAAGGCCCUGCUGUUGUGGGGUGCUCGCGUGGCGAACGGGUGAGUAACACGUGAGUAACCUGCCCUUGACUUUGGGAUAACUUCAGGAAACUGGGGCUAAUACCGGAUAGGAGCUCCUGCUGCAUGGUGGGGGUUGGAAAGUUUCGGCGGUUGGGGAUGGACUCGCGGCUUAUCAGCUUGUUGGUGGGGUAGUGGCUUACCAAGGCUUUGACGGGUAGCCGGCCUGAGAGGGUGACCGGCCACAUUGGGACUGAGAUACGGCCCAGACUCCUACGGGAGGCAGCAGUGGGGAAUAUUGCACAAUGGGCGGAAGCCUGAUGCAGCAACGCCGCGUGCUGGAUGACGGCCGUCGGGUUGUAAACCGUAUUCGACUGUGACGAAGCUUUAGCGACGGGAAGGUCUUAAGAUGUAGCGUCUAAUCACGGC